AUGCGCCAGCUAAGGCUCGUCACCAACAUGAGGGCUCAUAAUGACACCUGGUUUGCCGAUUACUUGCUAAGGGUAGGCAAUGGUACCGAGGAAGUUGACGAUCAAGGAAACAUACGACUCCCUGAAGAUAUUUGUGUGCCAUCUACAGGCGAGGGUGACGACCUGGAGAAGCUGAUUGACCAUGAUUUUCCGAGACUAGAUGACAACCAGUCCGAUCCGAAUUACAUGACUUCACGCGCAAUCCUCUCCACCACGAACGACAACGUCGACAAGAUAAACAUACGCAUGGUAGAG
rnacentral:rRNA from 1 species